rnacentral:rRNA from 1 species
AGCGAACGCUGGCGGCAGGCCUAACACAUGCAAGUCGAACGGAUCCUUCGGGAUUAGUGGCGGACGGGUGAGUAACACGUGGGAACGUGCCCUUUGGUUCGGAACAACUCAGGGAAACUUGAGCUAAUACCGGAUGUGCCCUUCGGGGGAAAGAUUUAUCGCCAUUGGAGCGGCCCGCGUCUGAUUAGCUAGUUGGUGAGGUAAAGGCUCACCAAGGCGACGAUCAGUAGCUGGUCUGAGAGGAUGAUCAGCCACAUUGGGACUGAGACACGGCACAAACUCCUACGCGAUGCAACAGUGGGGAAUCUUGCGCAGUGGGCGAAAGCAUGAAGCAGCCAUGCCGCGUGAAUGAUGAAGGUCUUAGGAAUGUAAAAUUCUUUCACCGGGGACGAUAAUGACGGUACCCGGAGAAGAAGCCCCGGCUAACUUCGUGCCAGCCGCCGCAGUAAAAC